rnacentral:rRNA from 1 species
UACGUAGGGUGCAAGCGUUAAUCGGAAUUACUGGGCGUAAAGCGUGCGCAGGCGGUUAUGGAAGACAGAUGUGAAAUCCCCGGGCUCAACCUGGGAACUGCAUUUGUGACUGCAUGGCUAGAGUGCGGCAGAGGGGGAUGGAAUUCCGCGUGUAGCAGUGAAAUGCGUAGAUAUGCGGAGGAACACCGAUGGCGAAGGCAAUCCCCUGGGCCUGCACUGACGCUCAUGCACGAAAGCGUGGGGAGCAAACAGG